GAUAUUAAACGGCAUGGGGUCUAAGUUUUGGAGUAUUUUUUUGAUAUUGCAAUUAAAAUAAAAUUAAAAAGAAAA
ensembl:misc_RNA